ACAUUUUGCCGUUCCGACUCUAAAGCAACUACAUUUCUCUACAGAGCACAGAACUACAUCAUAAAGAUGAAUAAGAUAAUUAAAGGAACCCAAAUAUAUGGGCAUAAACAUAUAAACCUGAGGUAGGACUAUUAUUAUAAUGAUGUUAAACAAUGAGCAUAUUCAAAAGCUAAGUAAUUAAUACAAACUGUCCAAGACCAUUUUUAAAUAUUGCAUGCAUAUGGAAAUUUGGAAAGCAAGAAGGAAUCACAAGCUGGGCCACUGGGAAAGUUCGAGAGCCCUAAUCCUGCCAGAGGCACUGCAGGGUGUAGUCACUUUCAGCACUCCUGUCUGACAACUCCCAGACUUUUCCUGCUUUAAUCUCUUCAAUGCCCAACUCAGAGAUAAAUCUUCCUAAAAUAACAUUCUCACCAUGUUGCUUUCCUGGUCAAGAACCUACAGGCUCUCCUCAUAGAUUACUGCAUCAAGAUCCCAAUACUCAGCUGGGCAUGAUGGCUCAUGCCUGUAAUCCUAGCACUGUGACAGGUCGAGGUGGGUGCAUAGCUUGAGCCCAGGGAGUUCAAGAACAGUCUGGGCAACAUGGCAAAACCCCAUCUCUACCAAAAAAAAAAAAAAAAGGAAAAUUGGCCAGGCAUGGUGGUGCAUGCCUGUAGUUCAGCUACUUGGAGGCUGAGGCAGGAGGAUCACUUGAGCCCAGGAGGUUGAGGUUGCAGUGAGCUGAAAUUGCACCACUACACUCCAGCCCAAGUGAUAGAGUGAAAGACUCUGUCAAACAAACAAACAAACAAACAAAAAACAAAAACACUCAAAUUCUGUACUUGAAAUUCACGGUUCUGGCAGAGAAACAACAAAAAAAGAAAAUUUCAGGCCAAUAUCCCUGAUGAACAUCGAUGUGAGAAUCCUCAAUAAAAUACUGGCAAACCGAAUCCAGCAGCACAUCAAAACGCUUAUCCACCACGACCAAGUCGUCUUCAUACCUGGGAUGCAAGGCUGGUUCAACUUAUGCAAAUCAAUAAAUGUGAUCCAUCACAUACACAGAACCAAUGACAUAAACACAUUAUUAUCUCAAUAGAUGCAGAAAAGGCCUUUGACAAAAUUCAACACCCCUUCAUGCUAAAAUCUCUCAAUAAACUAGGUAUCAGUUGUACCUAUCUCAAAAUAAUAAGAGCUAUUGAUGACAAACCCACAGCCAAUAUUAUACUGAAUGGGCAAAAACUGGAAGCAUUCCCUUUGAAAACUGGCACAAGACAAGGAUGCCCUCUCUCACCACUACUAUUCAGCAUAGUAUUGGAAGUUCUGGCCAGGGCAAUCAGGUGAGAGAAAGAAAUAAAGGGUAUUCAAAUAGGAAGAGAGGAAGUCAAAUUGUCUCCGUUCGCAGAUGACGUGAUUGUAUAUUUAGAAAACCCCAUCGUCUCAGCACAAAAUCUCCUUAAGCUGAUAAGCAACUUCAGUAAAUUCUCAGGUACAAAAUCAAUGUGCAAAAAUCACAAGCAUUCCUAUACACCAAUAACAGACAAACAGCCAAAUCAUGAGUGAACUCCCAUUCACAAUUGCUGCUUAGAGAAUAAAAUACCUAUGAAUCCAGCUUACAAGGGAUGUGAAGGACCUCUUCAAGGAGAACUACAAACCUGUUCAAGGACAUAAGAGAGGACAUAAACAAAUGGAAAAACAUUCCGUGCUCAUGGAUAGGAAGAAUCAAUAUCAUGAAAAUGGCCAUACUGCCCAAAGUAAUUUACAGAUUCAAUGCUAUCCCCAUCAAGCUACCAUUGACUUUCUUCACAGAAUUGGAAAAAACUACUUUAAACUUCAUAUGGAACCAAAAAAGAGCCCGCAUAGCCAAGACAAUCCUAAGCCAAAAGAACAAAGCUGGAGGCAUCAUGCUACCUGACUUCAAACUAUAUUACAAGGCUACAGCAACCAAAACAGCAUGGUACUGUUACCAAAACAGAUAUAUAGACCAAUAGAACAGAACAGAGACCUCAGAAAUAAUGUCACACAUCUACAACCAUCUGAUCUUUGACAAACCUGACACAAACAAGCAAUGAGGAAAAGACUCCCUGUUUAAUAAUUGGUGUUGGGAAAAGUGGCUAGCCAUAGACAGAAAACUGAAACUGGACCCCUUCCUUACACCUUAUACAAAAAUCAACUCAAGAUGGAUUAAAGACUUAAACGUAAGACCUAAAACCUUAAAAAUCCUACAAGAAAACCUAGGCAUUACCAUUCAGGACAUAGGCAUGGGCAAAGACUUCAUGUCUAAAACACCAAAAGCAAUGGCAACAAAAGCCAAAAUUGACAAAUGGGAUCUAAUUAAACUAAAAAGCUUCUGCACAGCAAAAGGAAUUAUCAUCAGAGUGAACAGGCAACCUACAGAAUGGGAGAAAAAUUUUGCAAUCUAUCUAUCUCACAAAGGGCUAAUAUCCAGAAUCUACAAAGAAUUUAAACAAAUUUACAAGAGAAAAACAACCCCCUGGAAAAGUAGGCAAAGGAUAUGAACAGACACUUUUCAAAAGAAGACAUUUAUGCAGCCAACAAACAUGAAAAAAAUGCUCGUCAUCACUGGUCAUUAGAGAAAUGCAAAUCAAAACCACAGUGAGAUACCAUCUCACACCAGUUACAAUGGCUAUCAUUAAAAGGUCAGGAAACAACAGAUUCUGAUGAGGAUGUGGAGAAAUAGGAAUGCUUUUAUACUGUUGGUGUGAGUGUAAAUUAGUUCGACCAUUGUGGAAGACAGUGUGGCGAUUCCUCAAAGAUCUAGAACUAGAAAUACCAUUUGAUCCAGCAAUCCCAUUACUGGGUAUAUACCCAAAGAAUUAUAAAUUAUUCUACUAUAAAGACACAUGCACAUGUGUGUUUAUUGCAGCACUAUUCACAAUAGCAAAGACUUGGAACUAACCUAAAUGUCCAUCAGUAAUAGACUGGAUAAAGAAAAUGUGGCAAAUAUACACCAUAGAAUACUAUGUAGCCAUCAAAAUGGAUGAGUUCAUGUCCUUUGCAGGGACAUGGAUGAAGCUGGAAACCAUAAUUCUCAGCAAACUAUCACAAGAACAGAAAACCUAACACCACAUAUUUUCACUCAUAAGUGGGAAUUGAACAAUGAGAACACAUGGACACAGGGAGGGGAACGUUACACACUGGGGCCUGUCGGGGGGAUGGGGGACUAAGGGAGGAAUAGCAUAGGGGAAAUACCUAAUGUAGGUGAUGGGUUGAUGGGUGCAGCAAACCACCAUGGCACAUGUAUACCUAGGUAAAAAAACUGCACAUUCUGCACAUGUACUCCAGAACUUAAAGUAUAAUAAUAAAAAAAAGAAAUUCA
rnacentral:lncRNA from 1 species